rnacentral:rRNA from 1 species
ACAGCAGUAGCCGCGGUAAUACGGAGGGUGCAAGCGUUAAUCGGAAUUACUGGGCGUAAAGCGUGCGUAGGCGGUUCGUUAAGUCUGUUGUGAAAGCCCCGGGCUCAACCUGGGAAUGGCAAUGGAUACUGGCGAGCUAGAGUGUGUCAGAGGAUGGUGGAAUUCCCGGUGUAGCGGUGAAAUGCGUAGAGAUCGGGAGGAACAUCAGUGGCGAAGGCGGCCAUCUGGGACAACACUGACGCUGAGGCGCGAAAGCGUGGGGAGCAAACAGGAUUAGAUACCCCAGUAGUCCCUGUCUCUUAUAC